AGCAAUACAUGGCGGCGACCGGCGAAAGGGUGAGUAACGCGUGAGCAACGUGCCCGUAUGUGGGGGAUAGUCGAUGGAAACGUCGCGUAAUACCCCGUAACACAUUUCCCCGCAUGAGGAGAUGUUGAAAGAUUUAUUGCAUACGGAUCGGCUCGCGUGCCAUUAGGUAGACGGCGGGGUAACGGCCCACCGUGCCGACGAUGGCUAGGGGUUCUGAGAGGAAGGUCCCCCACAUUGGAACUGAGACACGGUCCAGACUCCUACGGGAGGCAGCAGUGAGGAAUAUUGGACAAUGGCCGGAAGGCUGAUCCAGCCAUGCCGCGUGCGGGAGGACGGCCCUAUGGGUUGUAAACCGCUUUUGCGGGGGAGCAAUAAGGUCCACGUGUGGGCCGAUGAGAGUACCCCGCGAAUAAGCAUCGGCUAACUCCGUGCCAGCAGCCGCGGUAAUACGGAGGAUGCAAGCGUUAUCCGGAUUUAUUGGGUUUAAAGGGUGCGUAGGCGGUUUGCUAAGCGGGAGGUGAAAUGCCGGCGCUCAACGUCGGAAGUGCCUCCCGAACUGGUGGACUGGAAUGACUCUGCCGUGGGAGGAAUGUGUAGUGUAGCGGUGAAAUGCUUAGAGAUUACACAGAACACCGAUUGCGAAGGCAUCUCACGAAGGGUGAU
rnacentral:rRNA from 1 species